UCGCGAUUCCGUUCAACCGCCUUCCACCAUCGGCCCAGUUGGGCUAUAAAGCAGAUUAACGACCUCCUCCGUCAUCGCUGCUGCUCAUCUCACCUAGAAUCGCCCACCAUCGCCGCCACCAUAGAUAGCCGCUGGUAACGCGACUCUGGCGCCAUUCUGGUAACCUAAAGCUUGGGUUGCUCACGUUGAAGUUGUGCGAGGGAGCAAUCGAAAGGGCGGGUGGAAUCCACGCGGCAAUUUCUCACCGGGCGGGGAUGACCACCGCGGGAUUCCUAGUGCCGCGGCUAGCUUGGGUCGUUGCUCCAAACCAGUGGUAAGCAUGUUUAUUCUCUUCAAAACCUUCCCAUAUUCGCGUAGGACCGUCCAGGGAGGUAUUGGAAUCUGACCGGUAGACGCAAUUUCUCAUCGGAGGAAUUUUCGCCGCCGCGGAUACACUCGUGCCGCGGUCCGGCCCCUGUUGCCUAAACCAGUGGGUAAUAGCCCAACGGAUUUGCCUCGGUGACCACUCCGGCACUUUGUGAACUCGUUGAUUUGGGGUGGGAGCACCGGGGUGACACAUAGAUCGCGCGCCGGCGAACCUCCACCGCGGAACCGUGCGGGCGCCGUCGUGCCCAGUCUGCCGGAGGUAGGAGAUAGGGUUUUGGAUCGUCGAUUGACCAAUGAACGACCCAGAUUGGAUCGGUACCUAACGCUUCGGCCUGAGAGAUCAUCACCGUCCGUUUUGAUCGGACGGGCGAUACUGGAUUAGCCCUCAUAAAAUCUCCACCAUAGGUCUUCGAUCGGACGGAUCGCGCUAAAUACUGAUUCGAUUAAGUAACAGUCUAGUCGAUGCCGUCCGUAGGGAAUCCAACGGAUACCUUUGGUCCAUACCCCUUCGCCUCGACAUUUAUGCUAAAGAGACCCUACGCUUUUUAGAAAUAAACCCGUCAUCCCCGCGGGGAAGACCUGAGUCACAAGGAAUUUUAUGCGUUAGACCCCCGGGUUAUUUGUUUUAUGUGCGCAGUCCAGAGGUCAGAGAAAAAUAAUGAAGGAUUAUAGAAAUUGAUUUUUAGUAUAUAAAUAAUUCUAGAAACUUGUUUAAUCUAUAUAAAAUUCAUAGCGCGACCAAAUUAAUUCAUUCUAGUUCCUAUAAAUUAGUAAUAAUGUUGUUUAUCACCCUGUGUCUAUGUUUUAAUAUGAAAAUGGUAUUAAAAUUUAUUUCUUAAUUAAUCUCGUAUCAAAUACAUAAAACCUUAAGAAAUUCGUAUCUCCUUCGUUUUAACUCCGAUUUGACUCGUUUCAGUUGCGUUAGUCUCGUAGCAACGCGUAGAUCAUUAUUAUUCAGUUUGUACUUAUGUUUUGUGUGAUGUUAAUUUUAUCUAUACCAUGUUUGUUUGUAUUGCUACGACUAGCGUGAGGACACGUGUCAUCUGAAAAGCAAGUUGGUACCUGGAAUCUCAAGUGCCAGGCAAGUUGUGCCCUUGACCACUUUUUACCCAAUAAUGUUCUUAAUAUCACUUAUUCAUGCAUAGGUUAAUUUUGAUGGGACCCAAUAGGUCACCCUAGAUUGUUUAUCUCAUUACCUUGUUUACCCCUGAAUCACUUGGGUAGUUUUGCUAUUGCUUUACAUGGUUUUGGGAUAAUCAUUUAUUAUAUCUGUGUUCCAAUUCUUUUGUUAUUCUAUUUAUGUUCAUGUCAAGAUUAUUAAUGUUAAUUGGAACAUAGAGCUUAACUUGAGAACCACGUGCCACCACAAGGGUUUAAUGGGACGCCCUUGGCUGACUAAUUAGGAAAGCUAGUGGAAGACUACCUUACCCGAAAGGGGCAAGGGCAGUAGGGGAGUGGUCAGUGUAGGGAGGUCCUUGGUUGAUUUUGCUGCGAUGGCGGUCAGACAAGAACCCUGCAUUGGAGCUUCCUAUAAACUGUAGCGGGUUUUCGGAAGCUAGUGGAACUUUGUAAAGGCCUCGUAGUGUUGCCCUGCCGCGCUUCCUAGGUAGAGGUGUAUGGGAUUCGCGACCCCUUGGCAGAUGGGUAGCAUGACUUGUGGGUAAAGGGUACAACCUCUGCAGAGUGUAAAACUGGUAUACUAGCCGAGCUCACGGUCAUGAGCAGCUCAGGACUCUCUAAUGAUUAAAUUAUGGAACUUAAAUUCAAUUUUGUCAUUUGCAUAUGCAUGGGUUUAUUAUUAAAUUUGUUCUAUUACUUUAUUUAAGGUUUGGUAUUUACUUACAUCUAGUAAUUGCUAAUAAAAGUUUGACCAACAUUAAAAGCAAUGCUCAGCUUUAACCAUUCUCUUUGAUAAGCCUUACACUCCAUGAGCUCCCACCUUUGGUGAGUUCAUGUCACAUUAUUCCCCACAACUUGUUGAGCGAUGAUCAUGUGUGAGCUCACCCUUGCUGUCUCACACCCCCCCACAGGAGAAGAUCAGGUGGUUCAGGAUGAGCCGCCUAACACUGAGGAGUUCGAUCUGAUCUAGGUGGCGUUUCCCAGUCGACAUUGGCGCCGACGAUCCUUAGUUCGUUUUAUGUUUACACUUUUAUUUUGUAAUAAGUCUUCCGCUAUGUAAUAAAUACUCUGAUGUUUUAUGACAUUUGUCUCUAUACACUCUGUUAUUAUAUAUGUUGUCUUCUUUGGCGCAUGUAUGAGAUGCACCCGGCUUUGUUCCUUAAAGCCGGGUGUGACACCGCUCCACUGACCGGCCUGACAAGAAGACAGCGUCGCCUGCGUCGCUCCGACUGCUGUGCCACUCGAUAGAGUGAGGCUGACGGCAGCCAAGUCCGGCCUUGGGCGCCAUAGGAAGCUCCGCCUCGCCCGACCCCAGGGCUCGGCCCCCGUCUCGGCCUCGGGCGACGAACUCCGCUUCGCCCGACCCCAGGGCUCGGACUCAGCCUCGGCUCCGGAAGACGACGAACUCCGCUUCGCCCGACCCCAGGGCUCGGACUCAGCCUCGGCUCCGGAAGACGACGAACUCCGCCUCGCCCGACCCCAGGGCUCAGACUCGGCCUCGGCUCCGGAAGACGACGAACUCCGCCUCGGCCUCAGACGAUGGUCUCUGCCUCGCCCGACCCGAGGCUCGGACUCGACCUCAACCUCGGAAGACAAACUCGACCUCGACCUCGGAGGAGCCUCCGCCUCGCCCGACCCAGGGCUCGGGCCGACCACGUCAUAGGGGGCCAUCAUUACCCUACCCCUAGCUAGCUCAGGCUACAGGGAACAAGACCGGCAUCCCAUCUGGCUCGCCCCGGUAAACAAAUAAUGAUGGCGCCCAACGUGCUCCAUGACAACGGCGGCUCUCAGCCCCUUACGGAAGCAAGGAG
rnacentral:lncRNA from 1 species